rnacentral:lncRNA from 1 species
AUUGUUGAUGUUGCAUGCUAGGUGAUUUAGCGUGCAUAGUAUGGCCUUUAUGGUGGUAGCUAAUUCCCAUGGUGAGGAAUUAGUGAUGAGUUAUUGUGGAUUGUUGUUGAUGUUUGCAUGCUAGGUGAUUUAGCGUGCAUAGCAUAGCCCUUGGGGUGGUAGCUAAUUCCCAUGGUGAGGAAUUAGUGAUGUGAGUCACUAGGUCUCAAAUGAG